rnacentral:rRNA from 1 species
AAACCAACAGGGAUUGCCCCAGUAGCGGCGAGUGAAGCGGCAAGAGCUCAGAUUUGAAAUCGUGUUUCGGCACGAGUUGUAGAGUGUAGGCGGGAGUCUCUGUGGAGCGCGGUGUCCAAGUCCCUUGGAACAGGGUGCCUGAGAGGGUGAGAGCCCCGUAGGGUGCUGCGCGAAGCUUUUGAGGCCCUGCUGACGAGUCGAGUUGUUUGGGAAUGCAGCUCCAAGCGGGUGGUAAAUUCCAUCUAAGGCUAAAUAUUGGCGAGAGACCGAUAGCGAACAAGUACUGUGAAGGAAAGAUGAAAAGCACUUUGAAAAGAGAGUGAAACAGCACGUGAAAUUGUUGAAAGGGAAGGGUAUUGGGCUCGACAUGGGGGGUGCGCACCGCUGUCUCUUGUAGGCGGCGCUCUGGGCGCCCUCUGGGCCAGCAUCGGUUCCUGCUGCGGGAGAAGGGGCUCCGGAAAGUGGCUCUUCGGAGUGUUAUAGCCGGGGCCAGAUGCCGCGUGUGGGGACCGAGGACUGCGGCUUCUGUCUCGGAUGCUGGCAUAACGGCGCAAUACCGCCCGUCU